GUGAAGUCAUUGAUGCCAUGCUUCCAGGAAAAGCCUCUAAGCUUCAGAUUGUAAGGAAUCGUACCCCAAACCGACACAGGUGGUCGGGUAGAGAAUACCAAGGCGCUUGAGAGAACUCGGGUGAAGGAACUAGGCAAAAUGGUACCGUAACUUCGGGAGAAGGUACGCUCUUGAUGGUGAAGUCCCUCGCGGAUGGAGCUGACGAGAGUCGCAGAUACCAGGUGGCUGCAACUGUUUAUUAAAAACACAGCACUGUGCAAAAUCGUAAGAUGACGUAUACGGUGUGACGCCUGCCCGGUGCCGGAAGGUUAAUUGAUGGGGUUAGACUUCGGUCGAAGCUCUUGAUCGAAGCCCCGGUAAACGGCGGCCGUAACUAUAACGGUCCUAAGGUAGCGAAAUUCCUUGUCGGGUAAGUUCCGACCUGCACGAAUGGCGUAAUGAUGGCCACGCUGUCUCCACCCGAGACUCAGUGAAAUUGAAAUCGCUGUGAAGAUGCAGUGUACCCGCGGCUAGACGGAAAGACCCCGUGAACCUUUACUACAGCUUGGCACUGAACAUUGACCCUACAUGUGUAGGAUAGGUGGGAGGCUUUGAAGCACGUACGCCAGUAUGUGUGGAGCCGUCCUUGAAAUACCACCCUUGUAGUGUUGAUGUUCUAACGUCGACCCCUAAUCGGGGUUGCGGACAGUGCCUGGUGGGUAGUUUGACUGGGGCGGUCUCCUCCCAAAGAGUAACGGAGGAGCACGAAGGUGGGCUAAUCACGGUUGGACAUCGUGAGGUUAGUGCAAUGGCAUAAGCCCGCUUGACUGCGAGAAUGACAAUUCGAGCAGGUGCGAAAGCAGGUCAUAGUGAUCCGGUGGUUCUGAAUGGAAGGGCCAUCGCUCAACGGAUAAAAGGUACUCCGGGGAUAACAGGCUGAUACCGCCCAAGAGUUCAUAUCGACGGCGGUGUUUGGCACCUCGAUGUCGGCUCAUCACAUCCUGGGGCUGAAGUCGGUCCCAAGGGUAUGGCUGUUCGCCAUUUAAAGUGGUACGCGAGCUGGGUUUAGAACGUCGUGAGACAGUUCGGUCCCUAUCUGCCGUGGGCGUUGGAAGAUUGAAGGGGGCUGCUCCUAGUACGAGAGGACCGGAGUGGACGAACCUCUGGUGUUCGGGUUGUGUCGCCAGACGCAUUGCCCGGUAGCUAAGUUCGGAAUCGAUAACCGCUGAAAGCAUCUAAGCGGGAAGCGAGCCCUGAGAUGAGUCUUCCCUGAUACUUUAAGUAUCCUAAAGGGUUGUCGGAGACUACGACGUUGAUAGGUCAGGUGUGUAAGUGCUGUGAGGCAUUGAGCUAACUGAUACUAAUUGCCCGUGAGGCUUAACCAUACAACACCCAAGGGGUUU
rnacentral:rRNA from 1 species